AGCACCCUUUUAGGUUAUAGCGACACUCUUUAACUGUCACUAUAUACCUAGCGACCCCACAUAUAGCAACACUUUUUAAAAAUAUCGGUAAUUUUAGCUAGCAGCACUUUUUUGACAUGUACCUACAUUUAAAAGUAUCGCUAUAGACCGUUUUUGUUGUAGUGUUCUUUGGUUUACAUGCUACUACUUAGGAAAUCAUCAUCUAUUCCUAACUUCAUGUCAUAGUGUUUCUACUACACUAGUCCAAAUGCCACUCAUUGAGUUCAUUUACAUGUCCAAGUUCAUCUUUUGUUCUUUGGCACUAUAGAAUUCCAUGUCAAGACCCAAUCCGCAUGUGUCCACUAAAUCAAGUGCUCAACUCACUAUAUGAUUUCUACGAUGGAAACAUGCAAGGAAUUGAAGUGCAAUUUACUUAACAUAACCUAUAAUGCAUGCUAACAAUACAUGAACAUAUGCUAUAAUAAAAUAACUUAGGCAUAGGAAGAAGUUCAACUACUUCGGGAUGGACACCCCCCACCUUCUAGUAAUGCCUCGAAGCUAGGUUCCGACUUUCGUAAUUUUCCGCCGCCAAUCUCUCUCGACUGCGGCAAAUGAAGCCAAAAACAAGCUUUUCUUUAAUAUCUUCGCGCCGACUCUUCGGAUCGCCGAACUGAGUUCACCAACGCGUUCGAUUAUCUAGCAGAUAUGUAUAAAAGAGAUCAAUCCCUACUUUAGAUCUUAGCUUUAACAAACACCCUUUCUAACCCUAGAUGUUCAACUUUGCAAAAAUACCCCACGCGGAGCCUCGAUUCAAGCGAAUAACAUCUACUUAGCAUCAAAGGGUUCUACUACAACCAUUUCUAGAGCUUAAAACACAAACCCUAGAAAUCUACCAUUAAAGCUCCAAGAGCUUACCUCAAAACCUUCCUCUCUAAGCAAAGGAAGAAGAAGAAGACGAAAUUUCACUUUUUUGCUUCAAUCUCCACCAAUCCUUCUACUUAGAUCCACCUUGGGAGAGCUUCUAGAGAGAGAAAAUGAGAAAAAGAGAUAAGGAGGAGUGUUCUCUGGCUGUGAACACAAGAGAGGGCGAUGGGGUUUAUUUAUAGGCUGCCACAAUUGCAUAAAAGCCUCUCAACACUUGCUAUUUGCAACAUACUGCAUUCUGCAGUUUUCAGCACCUAGUACCGGUACGCCUUGAUUAGUCAACGGUUAACUAGCUUCGCAGAGGCCAAACCCGAGAGUUGCUACUCUCGGGUUGCUAUGGGGUACCGGUACUACAUGAUUUAGUCACCGGUUAACAAUGCUCCAGAAUGCAGUUUUGCAUCGUUUCGACUCUAUUUCGCGCCGAGCAACGCUAAAGCCUUUCUAACUCACUUGGAGUUCAACUUUAACCCUUCAAACAUUAUUGGAAUGUCAAAUGGAACAUGUCCAAAUAUCUCUCUCACCACGCUUUGAUCCUUUUGACCAAAAGUGGUUUAAUAGGAUGGGGAAAUCAAUAUCUUACAACAUAGGUGGUGAGUUGGUAGGAAAAAUAAAAAAAUGGUCAACUGUUUAUUGCUUUCUGAAAACGACAAACAGGUCGCUGCUUUUCUUCAGAAAUUUUCAUAAACUCAUGACAAUGGUAAAUAAAUUACCAUAUUCUACAUGCAGUUUUUCAUCCACCGCCUUUAAGCUUCUAGCACCUACUUUUUGAAGCUUCCAUCAAUUCACAACCAUAAAUUUUCCUAAGUGAUGGUAGGUACAGUAUGAAGAAUGCAGUGAAUGAUUCAUCAUUUAUAAAAAGGGUGAACCUUGUAGUGACUGAUUCAUCAUUUAUAAAAGGAGUUAAUCGUGUUACGGAUUUUAUAUUGGCAUAUUUUGUGAAAUGAGUCGGAGUCUUGAACGUUCGAGAAAGAAAAGAUGAAGUUAGAAGACUCGAAGACUCAAAACAUAAAUCCACAAUACUUGGUAAGUUUAAAUAUUAUUGAUAAUGAUUUAUGAUCAUAUACAUAUGUUCGGAAGACAUUAGAAUAGGUAUAAAUUGAUAAAUAUUCAAAAUUGAAGUUUUCCAAGUUUCAGGAUCCGGACACUGGUUGCAACGUCCAGACCCCGUAUGCCUUCCUGGCUAGUAUACACAAGGAGUAUCCGGACCUUGAGGGCAAGAUCCGAAUUUUCAUGUUUUUGAAACUUCAAAGUCUGGACCCUAUGUAGGGUUCGAACUCCAAAGCCGAUGUAGAUUUUUUAAAAUCAAUUUUUCAAUCCUAAUAUGAGUCUAAUUACUUCCAAACCUAUAUAUAAGAUGGAAAAUAUUUUUAAAUUUGUUUUUUCAAUCCUAAUCUAAUUUGGAAUUAAUUUUUUAAUUCUAAUCUGUCACGCCCCGCGACCGCCAAUUUGGUCGGUUCGGGUACGUCAAUCAGACGCCGAACAGACAGACCCUUUCCUGCAUGCCCAAGGCUAACAACAACGAGAUCAUGCAUGUAAACAGUUGCCUAGGGAACAAUAACCUCAUACAUGAUCUAAGCAAGAGCUAAUACAAGCAAUCAACAAAAGAGAGAAAACUCUAGCUAUUACAAUUUCAUGCAACAUACACAUCGAGUUUAUAUUUUUCAUCUCCAAAAUGUAUACAUGUUCAUCCAUAACUCCCCAAAAUACAUAUACAUCAUGUCCUCUCAUCUAUACAGGGUGUACUAAUGCAUAAAGAAAGCUGCUAGCUAACUAGGGCGCUAUGCCCUUACUGCGGUCCUCACCCGGUCCGCUCGUACUCGGCCCUGCAACAAAGUGGGGUGAGAACUAUAUAACUAUAGUUCCCAGUGGGUUCGGCCGCCGACUCUACCGAUCUUCCCACUAGGUCUAAGCAGGCAUAAAUAGAUAGAUAGAUAGAUAUGAAAAUGAGCUGCUACAUAGUAACAAAACCUACAACAUGCGACUAUGCCUCAAUAUACAGAAUGAAUGCAUGAACAUAGUAAUGUACUCUACUAACAUGAUACUAUGUUUCAACCUGCAAGAUAUAAAGGAAAUGACUACAUAGUAAUGAAAUCUACUAUCAAGUACUAUAUCUAAUGUCCAAUCUCAUCUCGGCUAACUAAAAGGUUGCGCCCAAACUCACAUCUCAAAUCUCGCGGUGAGUAGACUCUGCGCUACGCCCACCUGAGACCGCCUGCGGGACAACUACGUCUGUCCCAACGCGACAUCUACUCCGGAGCUCACUACUUGGGGUGGAGCGACCACGCCAAGGUUACAGAAACUAUGUGAGUACGAUCCAAUCCUCUCACUCGAGGAUAGUUAGUGCCUCUAUUGCACUAGUUCACAUGCUAUUACUUAGGAAAUCAUCUUUUAUCCCUAAGUUCAUAUCAUCAAAUUGUAAGUGUUUCCACUAUACAAGUCCAAAUGCCACUCGUUGGUUUACAUGCUACUACUUAGGAAAUCGUCAUCUAUUCCUAAGUUUAUGUCGUAGUGUUUCUACUACACUAGUCUAAAUGCCACUCUUUGAGUUCAUUUACAUGUCCAAGUUCAUCUUUUGUUCUUUUGGCACUAUAGAAUUCCAUGUCAAGAUCCAAUCCUCAUGUGUCCACUAAAUCAAGUACUCAACUCACUAUAUGAUUUCUACUAUGAAAACAUGUAAGGAAUUAAAGUACAAUUACUUAACAUAAUCUACAAUGCAUGCUAACAAUAUAUGAACAUAUGCUAUAAUAAAAUAACUCGGACAUAGGAGAAAGUUCAACUGCUUCGGGAUGGACACCCCCCACCUUUUGGUGAUGCCACGAAGCUAGACUCCAACUCUCGUAAUUUUCUGCCGCCUAAUUCCCUUGACUGCGGCAAACGAAGCCAAAAACAGGCUUUUCUUUAAUAUCGUCGCGCCGACUUGUCGAAUCGCCAAACCGAGUUCAUCUGUAAUGUACCAGAUUGUAAUAUAAAAUUAAGUGUAAAUAAAAAUAGUAUAAGAUACUAUUUUUAUUGGACUUAAAGAAGUAAAAUGUAAGUCUGGAAUGACUCGUGCUAAAAUCAGAAUAAAAAUAGGAGAUUUAGAAUUUUCUGUGAGACACGGGCUGGUAUUUUUAGCAGAAAAUGCACAGUGACGGAAAAUUUUGAAAAUCUGAAAAUAUGUCAGAAUUAUUUUUUUGAGGCUAGAUUUAAAGUUUCAUAUCAUUCUGACACCCGAAAAGUGAAAAAUAAAAUCCGACUGCUAUCUGCUAGAGAUUACAGUUCGGUAGAGCUUUCGGUGACCAAAAAUUGUCGAAACUGAAAAAUUAAGAUAUAUUCCGUUUAUUUAGCAAAAAUCGAGCCUGACUGUCAAAUUUGAGCGUGAAUGAACAUUCAGAAGAACCGGCGAAAGGUAUCUGAUCCUGAGCUGCUAAACUCCUAGUGUGAAUAGUGUUUUGAGGGUGUUAAUUAUAAAAGAAGCAUUUGCCUUCUUCUUCUCCUGCAACCGAACACACACCCACAGCACAUACACACACACACAUAUGGAGGGAGAGAGAAACCCUCCCUUUCUCUCUCUAAAUAUCUCUCUCAUCUCUCUAAAUCUCUUCCUCAAACUCGCGGCGUUGGCGGAGAGCGAGCUUGUGAACGCGUUGGAAGCAAGGGUUCGAGUCUUCGUGCGCCCGGUUGAGCGACGUGCUUUCGACUCGACGUUCGCAAAUUCGGUAAGUGUUUAGAAUUUGGCUAAAUCCUUAAUUUUUGAUGUUCUAGUAGCCUCUAAUGUUAUGUUAGCACGUUUUCUCCAUUUAAUUUGGAUUAUUUGGAGCAACUGUAGAGGCUAGGGUUAGAAUAAGGGUAUUGGAAAUUAGAGGGUUUUGAUCUAGUAUAACCUUAUACAAACCAAAUUGUUAGGUUUCCUGAUGCUUUGGUGAAGACGAUUCGGCAAUCCGUCGAGGCUACGCAAAGAUAUUGGGAAAAAGGACCGUUUGGCUUCAUUUCCGCGUGGAGGGCCGAGGCGGCGUCUAAAAAUCAAGAAAUCAGAUUUGUGGCAUCGCGGCAUCUAGAUGAAGCCCUUUAAAAUCCGAGGCCACGGAUUGAUGCACGGUUGGUGAUUAUUUGCAAGAUCGGGCUGAACCGGACUACGAGUGCCGCGGAAGGCCGAUUACAAGUGUCGACAAGCAAUCGGAGAGCGUUACGAUGUGGAUUGUGCUCACCAAAGUGUUUAGCUCGCUUCCAUGUCGAAGCGAAGUGAUAUUUAUUAUUGAUGCAUAUAAUGAUAGUUGGCUAUAGAACAUAUGAAUGCGUAAGUCGAAUGCUAUGUUAGGCUACCAUUGAGUACAUGAUGAUGUAUUGUAAAAAUACUAGAUGGAAUGCAUGAUUACAUAAUGCUAAAUGAAUGCAUGAUGACAUAUAUGAAUUAUGUUAGAAGAAUUAUGCAUGUUGACAUAUAUGAAUUGUGUUAGAAGAACUAUGCAUGUUGACAUAUAUGGAUUAUGUUAGAUAAAUAUGCAUGUUGACGUAUCUUGAGAUGCUAGAUGAACUAUGCAUGUUGACAUAUACGGAUUAUGUUAGAAAAACUAUGCAUAUUGGACUUGGGUCGAUAACUCUAGGUGGAUUAGAGAAUUCGGCAUUAAAAAACAAGAACAUGAAAGCUAUGAUACUCGAUGUAGACUAGUAGAUUGUCAAGUAGAUCGAGUGGCAUUUGGAUUAGUGUAGUAGAGACACUAUGACGUGAACAUAGGGAUAGAUGAUUUUCCGAGUCGUGGAUAUGUGCCACGUGAAACUAGUGUAGUACAGACACUUGUGACAUUAUUGUUGGAUUAGUGGAUUUCCCGUGUCGUUGUUAAACCUAGUAGACAGGGUAUCCUCGAGUGAGAGGAUUGGAUUAUACUCACUUAAUCUGUUUUUACUUCGCGUGGUCGCUCCACCCAAGCAGUGGUCUCCGGAGUACUUCACGAUAGGGACAGAUGUAGUUGUCCCGGGGCAGACGUAGUUGUCCCGCAGACGGUCUCGGUGUGCAAGUGCAGUUUUUCCUCACCUAUGAGAUUUUCAGAGUGAGUCGGGGCUUAACCUUUUGGUUAGCCAGUGAAAUUGGGUGACAUUCUUGUGAGCUAUGGAUGAAUCCCAGCAGAGUGGAUUGGCAUCCUAGUUGGCAUCCCAGUUGAGUGGACUUAAGGCUAAGGUGCAAGUGAGAUAUCCUUCACCUUGAGCCUGGCUUUGCGCGGUAUUUCGUGGAUGAUUGACUCAAGACCGAGUCGAGUGGAUAGCUUUGGAAAGGUAGAUGAAACCUUAUGAGCAAAUUGUAAUUGACAUGAAUCUAAGAUAAAGGAAAACUUAGAUGUCAUUUGGAUAAGCUAUGGAUAGCGAGUAGAAUUAGUAGAUAUACUUACCUCAUUGCAUAUUGAGUUGCAUGAUUAGCAUUGUUGCAUGUUGCGAGGCAUGAACAUAAUAAAUAUUAGUUCCAUAAAAUAUUUGAUGAAAUAUAUCUAUCUGUGGAUACUUGUUGGACUAACAUGUUGCAGUGCCUCCUUCGGACCUAGCGGGUCGAGCUUUUCCCUUGGGUGGUCGUACCCACUGGAAACUAUGGACAAUAGUUCUCACCCCCGUGUUGUUUUUGGGGGUACAGGUUCACACGUGAGCGGCGCGGCGGCGCGAGGACAAGGCAUAGUUUCGUAGAUAGCGCCCUACCACUGAGACCAGGGAUAGCGGUACCCCGAGUCAGCCUACCUAGGGGUGUAGAAAAGAGAAAGAAAGCAUUAUUUGUGUAAUCUUAAUUGUAUUUGGAAGAAAAGAAAAUAAAAAUGUAAUAUGUAAAAAGCAUGUGAUGUGAAUGCUUGUAAUAGCUUAGUUGUUUAUGUUGUUUGAUACCUUCCUUAUGCAAUCGUUGUAUGAAUACUGUUCCUGUUUGGAACCUCUUGUAUUGUAUUGUUUGCGACGCCUAGGACGUAAAGGGAAAACUCUGUCAGUUCGGCGGUCUGUUGACGACCCGAAUCCUACCAAAUAAGCGGGUCACAGGGCGUGACAUCACCAACCCGUUCGAUUACCUAGCAGAUAGGUAUAAAAGAGAUCAAUCCCAACUUUAGAUCUCAAUUUAACAAAACCUUUUUUCGGAACCCUAGAUGUUCAACUUUGCAAGAAUACGCCAUAAAGAUCGUCGAUUCAAGCAAAUAACAUCUAUUUAGCAUCAAAGGGUUCUACUAAAACCAAUUCUAGAGUUUAAAACUCAAACCCUAGAAAUCUACCAUUGAAGCUCCAAGAGCUUACCUCUCCACAACUCCUCAAAGCCAAGGGAGAAGAUGACGAAGAUGAAAUUCCACUUCAUUGCUUCAAUCUCCACCAAUCCCUCAACUUGCUUCCACACAUGGGAGAGCUUCUAGAGAGAGAAAGGGAGAAAAAAGAUGAAAAAAUGAGUGUUCUCUGGCUGUGAACACAAGAGAGGGUGAUGGGGUUUAUUUAUAGGCUGCCAUAAUUGCAAUAAAACCCCUCAACAAUUGCUAUUUGCAACAAACCGAAAUCUGCUGUUUUCAGUACCUGGUACCGGUAUGCCUUGAUUAAUCACCGGUUAACCAGCUUCGCAGAGGCCAAACCCAAGAGUUGCUGCUCUCGGGUUGCUACGGGAUACCGAUACUACAUGAUUUAGUCACCGGUUAACAAUGCUCCAGAAUAUAGUUUUGCAUUGUUUCGACUCUAUUUCGCGCGCCGAGCAAUGCUAAAACCUUUCUAACUCACUUGGAGUUCAACUUUAACCCAUCCAACAUUAUUGGAAUGUCAUAUGGAACAUGUCCAAACAUCUCUCUCGCCACGCUUUGGUCCUUUUGACCAAAAGUGGUUUAAUAGGACGGGGAAAUCAAUAUCUUACAUAAUCUGAUUUAAAAAUAGUUUUUCAAUCCCAAUCUGAUUUUAAUUACUUCUAAGUCUAUAGAUAAGAUGUGGGGGUGUCUCUAAAAUAUGGUUAAGCAUAUUUUAUCUUUUAGAAAUCCUAGAAGCUUAUAGAUAGCCGUCUUUCUCAUAUUCUACAAUAAGCUUAUCUCAAAUUGAUUCUUGGUGUCCUAAAUCUUUAAUGCUCUUCUAGAAUCAAUUUGAGAUUUACUUAGAGACAUCUUCUAUGGUUCUUUCAUGAUCAUCUAAGCAAAAAAUCAUCACCAACGUUCUUUAUCUUGCUCCGACGGAGUGGCGUCGUGGAUUCGACGUGAUCAAGACGAUUUUUAUGGUUAGAGAUUUACUUAGAGACAUCUUCUAUGGUUCUUUCAUGAUCAUCUGAGCAAUAAAUCAUCACCAACGUUAUUUGUCUUGCUCCGGACGGAGUGGCAUCGUGGAUUCGACGUGAUCAAGACGAUUUUUAGAUUCGGAUCGUCGGUG
rnacentral:lncRNA from 1 species